UACGAAGGGGGCUAGCGUUGUUCGGAAUCACUGGGCGUAAAGGGCGCGUAGGCGGCUUUGUGAGUCGGGGGUGAAAGCCUGUGGCUCAACCACAGAAUUGCCUUCGAUACUGCAUGGCUUGAGACCGGAAGAGGUAAGUGGAACUGCGAGUGUAGAGGUGAAAUUCGUAGAUAUUCGCAAGAACACCAGUGGCGAAGGCGGUUCUCUGGGACGGUACUGACGCUGAGACGCGAAAGCGUGGGGAGCGAACAGG
rnacentral:rRNA from 1 species